rnacentral:rRNA from 1 species
UACAGAGGGUGCAAGCGUUAAUCGGAAUCACUGGGCGUAAAGGGUGCGUAGGUGGCUGAAUAAGUUUCAUGUGAAAUCCCUGGGCUUAACCUGGGAACUGCAUGGGAUACUGUUGAGCUAGAGUAGAGUAGAGGUGAGUGGAAUUUCCGGUGUAGCGGUGAAAUGCGUAGAGAUCGGAAGGAACACCAGUGGCGAAGGCGGCUCACUGGACUCAUACUGACACUGAGGCACGAAAGCGUGGGGAGCAAAC